AGCAUUCGCGCCGCCGCCAUGACACUCGCAGUCCGCGCGCCCCGCAGCGCCCCGCGUCGUGCGCCGCGCACUGCUACACCUCACAAUACGAUUAUAAUAUCAUAAAUUAGCGGAGAAAAACCGUGACCCGCUACGUGACGUCACGCGCUGCGACCCGUGCUCUUGUUGCGAGCGCCCCUGGCCCCGGUGUCGCUGCGGCCCACACUCAUCGCCACUGAGCGCCCCUGGAAGCGCUAAUAACCGGAAAUGGGAGUAUCGGGGGAGAGCGAGGGCUGCGCGGCGGCGCGCACGUGGCG